UGGGGAAUUUUGGACAAUGGGCGAAAGCCUGAUCCAGCCAUGCCGCGUGCAGGAUGAAGGCCUUCGGGUUGUAAACUGCUUUUGUACGGAACGAAACGGCCUUUUCUAAUAAAGAGGGCUAAUGACGGUACCGUAAGAAUAAGCACCGGCUAACUACGUGCCAGCAGCCGCGGUAAUACGUAGGGUGCAAGCGUUAAUCGGAAUUACUGGGCGUAAAGCGUGCGCAGGCGGUAAUGUAAGACAGUUGUGAAAUCCCCGGGCUCAACCUGGGAACUGCAUCUGUGACUGCAUUGCUGGAGUACGGCAGAGGGGGAUGGAAUUCCGCGUGUAGCAGUGAAAUGCGUAGAUAUGCGGAGGAACACCGAUGGCGAAGGCAAUCCCCUGGGCCUGUACUGACGCUCAUGCACGAAAGCGUGGGGAGCAAACAGG
rnacentral:rRNA from 1 species